rnacentral:rRNA from 1 species
GAUGAACGCUAGCGGCAGGCCUAAUACAUGCAAGACGAACGGUAAGUUGAGUAGCAAUACUUAGCCAAGAGUGUCGUACGGGUGCGUAACACGUAUGCAACCUACCCUAUACAGGAGGAUAGCCUAGGGAAACCUGGAUUAACCCUUCAUAGUAUUAUUGGAUGGCAUCAUUUGAUAAUUAAAACUGAGGUGGUAUAGGAUGGGCAUGCGUCUGAUUAGUUAGUUGGCGGGGUAAUGGCCCACCAAGACGAUGACCAGUAGGGGUUCUGAGAGGAAGAUCCCCCCACACUGGCACUGAGAUACGGGCCAGACUCCUACGGGAGACAGCAGUAGGGAAUAUUGGGUCAAUGGAUGCAAGUCUGAACCAGCCAUGCCGCGUGCAGGAAGAAGGCCUUCUGGGUUGUAAACUGCUUUUGCCAGGGGAUAAAAUUUCCAUGCGUGGAAAACUGAAGGUACCUGGUGAAUAAGCCACGGCUAACUACGUGCCAGCAGCCGCGGUAAU